UACGUAGGGACCAAGCGUUGUUCGGAUUUACUGGGCGUAAAGGGCGCGUAGGCGGCCUCUGCAAGUCGACUGUGAAAUCUCCGGGCUUAACCCGGAAAGGUCAGCCGAUACUGCAGGGCUAGAGUGCAGAAGGGGCAACUGGAAUUCUCGGUGUAGCGGUGAAAUGCGUAGAUAUCGAGAGGAACACCUGCGGCGAAGGCGGGUUGCUGGGCUGAUACUGACGCUGAGGCGCGAAAGCCAGGGGAGCGAACGGGG
rnacentral:rRNA from 1 species